CCUACGGGAGGCAGCAGUCGGGAAUCUUGCGCAAUGGAGGGAACUCUGACGCAGUGACGCCGCGUGCGGGAAGAAGGUUUUCGGAUUGUAAACUUCUUUAGACAGGGAAGAAAGAAGACAGUAGCUGUAGGAUCAGCUCCUGCUUACUACGUGCCAGCAGCCGCGGGAAUACGUAGGGAGCAAGCGUUAGCCGGAUUUAUUGGGUGUAAAGGGUGCGUAGACGGGAAAACAAGUUAGUUGUGAAAUCCCUCAGCUUAACUGAGGAACUGCAACUAAAACUAUUUUUCUUGAGUGCUGGAGAGGAGAGUGGAAUUCCUAGUGUAGCGGUGAAAUGCGUAGAUAUUAGGAGGAACACCAGUGGCGAAGGCGACUUUCUGGACAGUAACUGACGUUGAGGCACGAAAGUGUGGGGAGCAAACAGGAUUAGAUACCCUUGUAGUC
rnacentral:rRNA from 1 species